rnacentral:rRNA from 1 species
GAUAAACGCUGGCGGCGUGCUUCAGGCAUGCAAGUCGAACGGUCACCUUCGGGUGGCAGUGGCGGACGGGUGAGUAACACGUAAGUAACCUGCCCAGAAGUGGGGAAUAACCCGCCGAAAGGCGAGCUAAUACCGCAUGUGAUGGUCUUUCCCCGGAAGGGUCAUUAAAGGCGAAAGUCGCUUCUGGAGGGGCUUGCGGCCGAUUAGCUAGUUGGUGGGGUAACGGCCUACCAAGGCAUCGAUCGGUAGCUGGUCUGAGAGGACGGUCAGCCACACGGGGACUGAGAUACGGCCCCGACUCCUACGGGAGGCAGCAGCUAGGAAUCUUGGGAAUGGGCGAAAGCCUGACCCAGCAACGCCGCGUGGGCGAUGAAGGCCUUCGGGUUGUAAAGCCCUUUUGCGGGGGAAGA